rnacentral:rRNA from 1 species
UACGGAGGAGGCAAGCGUUAUCCGGAAUUAUUGGGCGUAAAGCGUCCGUAGAUGGUUUUGUCAGUCUGCUGUCAAAGCACAGGGCUUAACCCUGUAAAGGCAGUGGAAACUACAAGACUAGAGUGCAGUAGGGGCAGAGGGAAUUCCCAGUGUAGCGGUGAAAUGCGUAGAGAUUGGGAAGAACACCCGUGGCGAAAGCGCUCUGCUGGACUGCAACUGACAUUGAGGGACGAAAGCUAGGGGAGCAAACGGG